rnacentral:lncRNA from 1 species
UUUCCGGCUAAUACAGGUCCUGAUGCUCUUCUGUCUUCACACAUGGUAUUCAUCAUAUCUUGACAAGAAAAGACCUUCAGUCUACAAAUAACCUUCACUGGAGUAAGACAUGGAACAUAUCUGCUCAGAGGACACCGAAUGGUCCUGAAGUAGAACCUGAGAACCAAUUCAACCAGCGCUGAAAGCAGCCAUGGGACCCAAGGGAGGCAAGUGGGCCCUAGUUAUCACCAUGACCUUCAGGGUUUGUCCCCUUUUCAUACUUCAGAAGGGAGGAAAAAAGGAAUCAAAAUCCAGGAAAGAGGGAACCUAUCAGAAAAAAAAAAUGCAGAAGACCCUACUAAAACUAGAAGUAAUUACAGUUCAAAGGAUUCAAGCAAAACAAAAACAAAAACAAAAACAAACAACAACAAAAAAAACCUACCAUGAGAACAAAAGAAGAGUGAGCAACUUCACCCCCACGCAGCCAAGCAUCAAAUUAGGAAAACUAUAGUCCAGAUAGAUUUUAGUCUAGCCAGGGAUGUCAAGACAAGAGGAAGGGCUUCUAUAAACACAUCUAUGCUGAAAGGAAAUCUUCAGAAAACAUGCAUCCUCUCCAAAAGAAAUUGCAGACCUGGUUACCUGGGAUAUGAAUAUGGAGGAGACAGCUACUCAACAAUUUUUUGCUUCAGUCUUCACCAGAAAUUGUUCUAGCCACACCACUAAAGUCACAGAAUGCAAAAGCAGAGACUGGGAGAAUAAAAUACUGCCUACUCUAGGUGAAGGUCAAGUUCAAAUCAACCUAAGGAGUUACACGUGUUGAUGGGACCUGACAAGAUGCAUCCAAUGGGAGUGGUGGAUGAAGUUGCUAAGCCACUUCUCAUAUUUCAGAAGCCAAAAGUUCCCACUAACUGGAAAGUGAAAACAUAGCCCCCAUUUUCAAAAAGGGGAAAAAAGAAGACUCAGGGAACUACAAACCAGUCAGCCACACUUCUGUGCCUGGAGUGGAUCCUUCUAAAACUAUGAUAAGGCAUAUGGAUAACAAAGAGUUGAUUGGUGACAGCUAGAAUGGCUUCACUUAGGGCACAUAAUGCCUGACAAAUUCGUGACCUUCUACGGCGGGGUUAUACUGUUGGUGGAUAAGGAAAGAGUAACUGACAUCAUCUGCCUGGAUACAUUAAUUUGAUGAAUGGAUCACUUGGUGAAUAAGGAACUGGCUGGAUGUUUGCACUCAAAGAGUUACGGUUGGCAGCUGAAUGCACAGGUGGAGGCCAGUGACAAGGGAUGCUCCUCAGGGGUUUGUACUAGGAAUAGCAUAAUUUAACAUCUUUGUUGGUGACACAGACAGGGGGAUUGAGUGCACUUUCCACAAGUUUGUAGGUGACACCAGGCCUAGAGGUGCAGUCAACAUGAUGGAGGAAAGGGAUGACAUCCAGAAGGACCUUGACAGGCUCAAGAGAUGGGCCUGUAAGAAAAACGUGUAUUUCAACAAGUCCAAGUGAUAGGUCCUGCACGUGGGUCAGGGCAAUUUGGAGCAUGAAUGCAGGCUAGGAAACACAUGGGUGAAGAGCAGAACUGUGGAGAAUGACUUGGGAGUACACAUGUUUGAAAAGGUCAACAUGAGCUAGCAAAGUGCACUUAUAGACAAGAAAGCCAAGCAUAUCCUGGACUGCAUGAAAGGAAAUACAGCUGAGAGUGAUUCUUCUCCUUUACUCUGCUUUUGGGAGACCUCAUUUAGAGUUUUGUAUUCAACUCAGGGAUCUCCAGCAUAAGAAAAACAUGGGCCUGUUAGCCUGGGUCCAUAGGAGAGACAUGAAGAAGAUCAGAGGGCUGGAGCACUCUUCCUAUAAAGACAGAGAGAACUGUGGUUAUUCAGCCUAAAGAAGUCUUAAGACUAAAGAAGAGAACUUAAAGAGGCCUUCCAGUAUUUAAGUACUAGAGGUCUAUGGGAAAGAUGGGGAGGCAUUUUUUAUAUGGGAAUAUAAUAGGACAAGGGUUAACAGUUUCUCUAAAAAGAAGAUAGGCUUAGAAUUGAUGUAAGGAAUAAAUUCUUUACUCAGAGGGUGGGGAAGCACUCGCACAGGCUUCCCAGAGAAGCUGUGGAUGACUGAACCUGUAGGUGUUCAAGACCAGGUUGGAUACGGCUCUGGGCAACCUGAUCUAGUGGCUGGCAAACCUGUCCAUGACAGAACAGGUGUGGGGCAGGGGGGAGGUAGAAAUGGAUGAUUUUUAAGAUCCCUUCCAACCUGAACAAUUCUAUGAUUCUAAACUAAAAAUUUCAACUGAGUAUUUUAACAAAGUUUGCAGGUUUUUUUCCCCCCUCUCCCUCUUUGGCUACUAUUGAGCUCUUGAUGCUCAGCCAUAAAACUUCAGUAAUAUCAGCAAUAAAGUUUCGUUUUACCUGUCAUCAGAUAAGUAACAGUUUAGUAAUGGCUUGGGGUGAUUGAUGACAAAGUAGCUAAAAAAAUAACUAGUACUAUAAACCCUAUUUACAACAUCUAAGAAGAACCUUGAAAAGAUAAUACUAUGGAUUACCUUUGUGUUAUUUUCUAUACUCGUUAUAAAAUUUGUCACGGGGUCUUUAAUUGUCUCAUUUUCCAUUUUUUAUAGUCUUUGUCAUGACAAUAAGUUUUCACAUAAUUCAGGGUUUGCUAGAUUGAUUCAAACUAUGCAGUAGAAGUCUGAAUGUCUUAGAGAUGUUGCAGCACGAUCGUCUGACUCUUCAACCUUUGUUCACCCAGUGAUAAAAUUUGUGGAGGAAGAGCAAUAGACAAUUUUAUGCCCUCCAAAUGAGCAUCCUUUCCCUACCUGCUAUUUUCACAGCCUUAUUCCUUCCCUUUCCAUGAGCUAUCUGCUUAAGGAUUAACUAAUUCGGAGUCAGGAGUCAGGCCUGCGUGGAUCCCUUCAUGCUGCCUUCAGCUUUCAGUAAUCUGAAGUUUUCUUAGAACUUAGGGGAUCACAAAAUACUCUUCUUUUUAUUUUAAUGAAACCAAGAUCCUUGAAGAAAUCUGAAGGAAAAGGGAUCAUGAAAGUACCUAGAGGCUCAGUAAGAUGUAUAAAACCCUAUUUUUCCAGAUACCAUCAAGUGUGAGUCAGUUCCAAGUUGUCUUGGUGUCUGAAUCAUGAUUUUUUAAUUCCUGUGGUUGGCAGUGUGGAUGAUGAUUGAAAAAGACUGCUGCUAUAUACUCAAAAUCUUGUCUUCCAGCAAAGAUAUUCACAGCUCCUGGUGCGGCUUUAGGGAGGAUUCCUUAGAGCCUAUCUGGCAAAACUCAUGCUUUUUGACUUCUCCAGCUGUCUCACUGACUCCUUUUCAUCCCCUAAAAUUAUGUCUUGGCCUCCAUUAAUCACAUUUGUCAUGUUUUGCCUAUACCAUAGCAAUAUGAUUCUUGUGCACAAAGAUGUUAUAAGUUCAAAGGGUAUGCUACACUACAUAUAGCAUAUUGCUUACAUGAUACUGAUCACUGCAAGCAUGUUUUAUAUUUCUGCUGCUUCUUACUUUAUUUAUUGAGUCUCAGGCAUACUAGAAUAUUAUGUAAAGCAAAAGGAUGAAGACAGUGUAGGUAAAACUGUUUUUCAGAAGCUUUCAUGCAGUUCCAGAAGAGUAAAAUGGCAACUAUGGAAAGGAGAACCACCACAGAUCUCAAGGAAUCAUAGAAAAGACCUUAAAGAUCAUCAAAUCCAACCAUGAUCUAGCCAUACUAGCCUAACUCUAACAACCCUCCGCUAAAUCAUGUCCCUGAGCACCACAUCCAAAUGGUUUUUAAACACAUCCAGGGAUGGUGACACAACCACCUCCCUGCGGAGCCUAUUUUAGUGCUUAACAACCCUUUCUGUAAAGUUGCUUUUCCUGAUACCCAACCUAAACUUAACCUGGUGCAACUUGAGGUCAUUUCCCCUUGUCCUGUCACCAGUGAGAAGAGACCAGCCCUGUUCUCACUGUAGGCACCUUUCAGAUAUUGGAAGAGAGCAAUAAGGUCUCCCCUCAGCCUCCUUUUCCCCAGACUAAACAGCCCCAGUUCCUUCAGUCUCUCUACAUAGGGCAUAUUCUCCAAGCCCUUCACCAGCCUUGCUGCCUUUCUUUGGACCUGCUCCAGCACCUCAGUGUCCUUUCUCUAUUCAGGUGCCCAAAACUGAACACAGUACUUGAGGUGAGGCCUCAUCAAUGCCAAGUACAGG